rnacentral:rRNA from 1 species
CCCUUAGAUGUUCUGGGCUGCACGCGCGCUACGCUGAAGCUAUCAACACGUUUUCCCUCCCUGAGAAGGGCGGGUAACCUUUUGAAUCAGCUUCGUGGUAGGGAUCGGGGCUUGCAAUUGUUCCCCGUGAACCAGGAAUUCCUAGUAGACGCGAGUCAUAAGCUCGCAUCGAUUAAGUCCCUGCCCUUUGUACACACCGCCCGUCGCUACUACCGAUUGAACGUUUUAGUGAGGCAUUUGGACCGACGCAUCUCAGUUUAACCGCUGGUUUGUGUUGGAAAGACUUCCAAACUUGAGUGUUUAGAGGAAGUAAAAGUCGUAACA